rnacentral:lncRNA from 1 species
GGACUCGGUUCGGCGACUUGGGGCAAAGUCUGGGGCUGGACAUUCUGCACAGCGGUACUCUGCGGAGCACCGACCACUUGGUAGACUGGGCGGUAUACAGCCUCACAUGGACCCGCUCGCCCCACGACCCCCGUGUAGACAGGAGGUGCGGCUCCCACAGCGACAGGUCACAGGAUCUCAGAGACACCUCUGAUCCCCCCAAACCCACAGGAACACUCGCUGGCCGGCCGUUCCAGCCAGCCUCGCGCUGCCAGCCUCGGGCUGGGGGACCCCACACCAAGCAUCAGCACCAUGAAAGAGGACCUAGAGACCCUGCUGGCCUUGGAACGGGCCAACAUCAUAGCCAAAUACACUCAGGCACACCCAGCAGGGUCUCCACGG